rnacentral:rRNA from 1 species
AACGAACGCUGGCGGCAUGCCUAACACAUGCAAGUCGAACGAGACCUUCGGGUCUAGUGGCGCACGGGUGCGUAACGCGUGGGAACCUGCCCUUAGGUUCGGCAUAACUCCCCGAAAGGGGUGCUAAUACCGGAUAAUGUCUUCGGACCAAAGAUUUAUCGCCUUUGGAUGGGCCCGCGUUGGAUUAGCUAGUUGGUAGGGUAAAAGCCUACCAAGGCGACGAUCCAUAGCUGGUCUGAGAGGAUGGUCAGCCACACUGGGACUGAGACACGGCCCAGACUCCUACGGGAGGCAGCAGUGGGGAAUAUUGGACAGUGGGCGAAAGCCUGAUCCAGCAAUGCCGCGUGAGUGAUGAAGGCCUUAGGGUUGUAAAGCUCUUUUACCCGGGAUGAUAAUGACAGUACCGGGAGAAUAAGCUCCGGCUAACUCCGUG